rnacentral:lncRNA from 1 species
UUCUUGGUGCUGUUCCUUUCCCGAUAAAUGCAAUAGCUUAACUACUUCCCCUUUAUUUUUUUGGUAUCCUUAACACAAAUUUUUCCAGUUUUUUUUUUAAACAUAUGAGUCAAAGAGAAAUAAACCAAGUUACUUAUUACCUUGGGAAUUUGUAUUUUUACUUCAAUUCAGAAGAAUAGCAAGGUUUUUAAAUGAUGAAAAAAAUUAACUUCUGUCAUUAAUUUAUUACUAAAUGUAAAUCCUUAAUGCAAACUUUUUAAAAAUUAAUACAUUGCGCUAGAGUAUAAAAUUAGAACUUGUGAGCAUAAAAAUGAAAAAUACACUAUGUAGUCUUUAUUCUAAAAUCUGUUGUAUUAAAAACAUAGUCUUGCCUGGUGUAUGCCUUUAACCCUGGCAGUUUGGGAGGCAGAGGUGAGUGGUUCUCUGAGUUCCAGGCCAGCCAGCGCUGUGAACUGGGACCCCGUCUCAAAAAGUUCAAACAAAAAGAAAACAAAACAAGCAAAAAUAGAAAAAUAGUCUUUAGCUCCCCACGCUCUCAAACAGUACACACACACAAACGCACACACACACACACACACACACACACACACGACAAAGAUACUAUCCAUAAACAUGGACUCCAAUGUCAUAUAGUUUUCAAUUAUCUUUCUGUGUUCAUGUCAAUCUACACCAAAUCAGCUUUAAUUCCUCAGCAUUAAAAAAAUCUAUAAUCUUAUUUCUGCAGGAUAUUUAGCUGUUUCAGGAAUGUUUUAAUAAUUUUGAUUCAGCCUAAAUAUUACUGAUAAAACUCCGCCUUAGGUAGGUGCCAUAAGAAGCUCUAUGAGUGAAGGGAUUAGUGCUUGUGUACUUAACCUCGCUGAGCUGUCAUUAAUACCAGACAAAAGGGAAAAUCUUCAGUCUUUGCCUGACUAAAAAUCUCUCCCCUGGUACAUUCCCAGGAUCACCUUACAGAUAGAUCCCUUUUGUUUAUAUUGCUGACCAUAUGUUUCUUUCCUUACAGCUAUUCUUAAAAUAGUUCUGAGACAAGUGAUCAGAUGAACCCAAGCGGUAUUUUACAUAUUUUAGUACCACCUAAUAGGCUUACUGCAUGAAUAUAUCAUUACCUUAUACUAUGAAUUUUUUGUCUAGUCAGUCUUAAUACUUCAGACAUUUUUGUGCUGUUUUCCCUUUUGUUCAUAGCCUACUAAUAAAUGGUAAGCUGAGACUGAUGCAGCACAAAGACAGAAAUGCUUUACUUAGCUUUGGACAUCAUGAAACAAACCUUAUACUUUCUACACUUAAAAAAUGUUGCUAAUUUUGUUAAUUUAAAGUAUAUUUUAAAUUAUGUGUUUUAUAAAAGCUAUAUUGUCUUAUUUUAUGAAAACAGACUUACAGAAGUAUUCUGUCUCUAAUGUCUAAAGGAUACAUUGCAUGUAAGAGAGGUAAAUACUAUGUCCAUAUUUCCUGUGGGCUAAGAUUGUAGUGUAGAAUUCUUCCAAAUACAGCACAUACUAUGGAGUCAAAGUUUCCUCAAACACCACUAAUACUAUGUUGCUUAUGACUUUAAAAUAUAAAAAAAUAGGUUCCAUGUAAAACGUCUGUCAGAUUAAUUUUCCACGUUUCAAAUUCCUUUGUUCAACUCAGCUUUAAGAGCUUUUUAGUUUAUCUUCAUGAAUUUUGUUACUAAACUUUUGAGUAAAUAACAUGAACUACUUUUCUCCCACAGAUGUGAACAAAGUACAAGAGAGCAGAAAUUCAAAAAGCAGGUCUAGGGAGCAACAAAGCUCCUAAUUCAGUGACCCACUGCAUGACAUGUGGGCCUGGGGUGAGUUUGCUGCUUGAACCCUAAGUGAGACGAGUCUCAUCUGUACAGACUAACAGAAUUAAGUAUAACGAGUGCACAUGGCACUAACAGUUACAUUUCGCUUGCUGGACUCACUGACUUUCCUUCCUGCUUAAUUAGUAAAGAGUAGUUGACUACCAUAGGUUUUUGCCUGUCUAAUUGGGUAGCAAGCCUUUAAAAAGUAUUUUCUCUCAAUUGAAAUGUAAUUUUAGCAGUGAGUAAUCUAAAAUAUUUCAUGCGGUUACAACCUCUAAGUAACUGGUAAGAAUGCACUAAAUACCUGUCUUACAAAGAACAGCUCAGACGUUCCCUCUGGCUUUCUGUCACUCUCAUUUCCAUAUAAACACCUGUGCAUGUUGUUCUUGCCGUAGCUUCCCUGUAGUUUAUAUUCCUCUUAUCUUCAAGCUAUUCUUACAUUUUCUUUCUUCUUUUCUGUCUUUCAACAAAAUACAGAGAGAAAAGUGUCCUUCAGUUUCUCAGUGUGAAGACUUUAUUUCUGAAGUAACAAGACACCUAGCAACUAUAGGAACUAUUAAAAACAGUAAGGAGAUUUUAACACAUCCCUUCGUGAUUAGAGCAGGGAAGAGAUAUAAACUUCAUUCUUCCUUGAAUCAAGGAGCACUACUGGAUUCAGCUGCCAAAAGUUUUAGAAGGUUUUAGGACACUGUACAGUGCACUAAGCUCUACUGAAUAAAGGACAUUCUCUCAC